UAAGGUCACAAAAAUGUUGCUGAACUUCUCAUCAAAAAAGGCGCCAAUAUGGAUGUCAUGGAUAAUUUUAAUCAUACACCUCUUCAUUAUGCUGCUAGGAAUGGUCACGAAAAUGUUGCUGAACUUCUCAUCAAAAAAGGAGCCAAAGUUGAUGUUAGAAAUCUUGCGAAUCUAACACCUCGUCAGUUAGCUGUUAGCCAUGGUCACAAUAAUAUUGCAGAACAAUUGGAAUAGAUUCAAUAUGCUGCCAACAAUGGUAAUGUUGAAUAUUUUACUUUUCCGUACACUUUCCGCACGUUAAGGGAAUUGAA